UUCUUCGGGGCAGGGUGUGAUUCCCUACCGGCGGUGACAGUCCGCGACCACGCAAGUGCUGAACCGGUGAAAGUCCGGUACCGACAGUAAAGUCUGGAUGAAAGAAGAA
rnacentral:ncRNA from 1 species